AGUGAACGCUGGCGGUAGGCCUAACACAUGCAAGUCGAACGGCAGCACAGUAAGAGCUUGCUCUUACGGGUGGCGAGUGGCGGACGGGUGAGGAAUACAUCGGAAUCUACUUUUUCGUGGGGGAUAACGUAGGGAAACUUACGCUAAUACCGCAUACGACCUACGGGUGAAAGCAGGGGAUCCUCGGACCUUGCGCGAUUGAAUGAGCCGAUGUCGGAUUAGCUAGUUGGCGGGGUAAAGGCCCACCAAGGCGACGAUCCGUAGCUGGUCUGAGAGGAUGAUCAGCCACACUGGAACUGAGACACGGUCCAGACUCCUACGGGAGGCAGCAGUGGGGAAUAUUGGACAAAGGGCGCAAGCCUGAUCCAGCCAUACCGCGUGGGUGAAGAAGGCCUUCGGGUUGUAAAGCCCUUUUGUUGGGAAAGAAAAGCAGCAGGUUAAUACCCCGCUGUUCUGACGGUACCCAAAGAAUAAGCACCGGCUAACUUCGUG
rnacentral:rRNA from 1 species